ACGGGUGAGUAAUACAUCGGAACGUAUCCUGGAGUGGGGGAUAGCCCGGCGAAAGCCGGAUUAAUACCGCAUACGCUCUGAGGAGGAAAGCGGGGGACCUUCGGGCCUCGCGCUCAAGGGGCGGCCGAUGGCGGAUUAGGUAGUUGGUGGGGUAAAGGCCUACCAAGCCGACGAUCCGUAGCUGGUCUGAGAGGACGACCAGCCACACUGGGACUGAGACACGGCCCAGACUCCUACGGGAGGCAGCAGUGGGGAAUUUUGGACAAUGGGGGCAACCCUGAUCCAGCAAUGCCGCGUGUGUGAAGAAGGCCUUCGGGUUGUAAAGCACUUUUGUCCGGAAAGAAAUCAUCGGGGCCAAUACCCCUGGUGGAUGACGGUGCCGGAAGAAUAAGCACCGGCUAACUACGUGCCAGCAGCCGCGGUAAUACGUAGGGUGCGAGCGUUAAUCGGAAUUACUGGGCGUAAAGCGUGCGCAGGCGGUGCUGUAAGACCGAUGUGAAAUCCCCGGGCUUAACCUGGGAACUGCAUUGGUGACUGCAGCGCUGGAGUAUGGCAGAGGGGGGUGGAAUUUCACGU
rnacentral:rRNA from 1 species